rnacentral:rRNA from 1 species
UACGGAGGGGGCUAGCGUUGUUCGGAAUUACUGGGCGUAAAGCGCACGUAGGCGGAUAGUUAAGUCGGGGGUGAAAUCCCGAGGCUCAACCCCGGAACUGCCUUCGAUACUGGCUGUCUGGAGGUCGAGAGAGGUGAGUGGAAUUCCGAGUGUAGAGGUGAAAUUCGUAGAUAUUCGGAGGAACACCAGUGGCGAAGGCGGCUCACUGGCUCGAUACUGACGCUGAGGUGCGAAAGCGUGGGGAGCAAACAGG